ACGUAGGGGGCGAGCGUUAUCCGGAAUUACUGGGUGUAAAGGGUACGUAGGCGGGGCUUUAAGUCGGCUGUGAAAAGCAAGGGCUCAACCCCUGGAAUGCGGUCGGUACUGGGGGCCUUGAGUACGGGAGAGGGGGGUGGAAUUCCCGGUGUAGCGGUGAAAUGCGUAGAUAUCGGGAGGAACGCCAGUGGCGAAGGCGGCUUCCUGGCUCGUUACUGACGCUGAGGUACGAAAGCGUGGGGAUCGAACAG
rnacentral:rRNA from 1 species